GAUGAAGAACGUAGCGAAAUGCGAUAAGUAAUGUGAAUUGCAGAAUUUAGUGAAUCAUCGAAUCUUUGAACGCACCUUGCACCCUUUGGCAUUCCGAAGGGUAUGCUCGUUUGAGUGUCAUUGUACUCUCACACUUCCAAUCUUUGGAUUGGGAGCAGUGGACUUGGGUGUUGCUGCUUACUGUGGCUCACCUCAAAUCGAUUCGUGCACCUCUUGGUUGGACAUAGUACGGCGUGAUAAGUGUCUUCGCCGGCACCUCAGUAGAGGGUGGCUGAUCAGGAGCUCUGUGCUUCAAACCGUCCUCGGACAACAACUGACAACUUGACCUCAAAUCGAGUAGGACUACCCGCUGAACUUAAGCAUAUCAAUAAGCGGAGGA
rnacentral:misc_RNA from 1 species